GAUGAACGCUAGCGGGAGGCCUAACACAUGCAAGCCGAGCGGUAGAGUUUCUUCGGAAACUUGAGAGCGGCGCACGGGUGCGUAACACGUGUGCAACCUACCUUUAUCUGGGGGAUAGCCUUUCGAAAGGAAGAUUAAUACCCCAUAAUAUAAUGAUUGGCAUCAAUUAUUAUUGAAAACUCCGGUGGAUAGAGAUGGGCACGCGCAAGAUUAGAUAGUUGGUGAGGUAACGGCUCACCAAGUCAAUGAUCUUUAGGGGUCCUGAGAGGGAGAUCCCCCACACUGGUACUGAGACACGGACCAGACUCCUACGGGAGGCAGCAGUGAGGAAUAUUGAACAAUGGGUGAGAGCCUGAUCCAGCCAUCCCGCGUGAAGGAUGACGGUCCUAUGGAUUGUAAACUUCUUUUGUACAGGGAUAAACCUACUCUCGUGAGGGUAGCUGAAGGUACUGUACGAAUAAGCACCGGCUAACUCCGUG
rnacentral:rRNA from 1 species